AGUUGGUGGAGUGAUUUGUCUGGUUAAUUCCGUUAACGAACGAGACCCCCGCCUGCUAAAUAGAGACGUUUGCAAUGCUUAGCAUUGUCGUCUAUCUACUUCUUAGAGGGACUUUUGGUGACUAACCAAAGGAAGUUGGGGGCAAUAACAGG
rnacentral:rRNA from 1 species